GAGUUUGAUCCUGGCUCAGAACGAACGCUGGCGGCAGGCCUAACACAUGCAAGUCGAGCGCUACCUUCGGGUGGAGCGGCGGACGGGUUAGUAACGCGUGGGAAUAUACCCAGUUCUAAGGAAUAGCCACUGGAAACGGUGAGUAAUACCUUAUACGCCCUUCGGGGGAAAGAUUUAUCGGAAUUGGAUUAGCCCGCGUUAGAUUAGAUAGUUGGUGGGGUAAUGGCCUACCAAGUCUACGAUCUAUAGCUGGUUUGAGAGGAUGAUCAGCAACACUGGGACUGAGACACGGCCCAGACUCCUACGGGAGGCAGCAGUGGGGAAUCUUAGACAAUGGGCGCAAGCCUGAUCUAGCCAUGCCGCGUGAGUGAAGAAGGCCCUUGGGUUGUAAAGCUCUUUCGUCGGGGAAGAAAAUGACUGUACCCGAAUAAGAAGGUCCGGCUAACUUCGUGCCAGCAGCCGCGGUAAUACGAAGGGACCUAGCGUAGUUCGGAAUUACUGGGCUUAAAGAGUUCGUAGGUGGUUGAAAAAGUUAGUGGUGAAAUCCCAGAGCUUAACUCUGGAACUGCCAUUAAAACUUUUCAGCUAGAGUAUGAUAGAGGAAAGCAGAAUUUCUAGUGUAGAGGUGAAAUUCGUAGAUAUUAGAAAGGAUACCAAUUGCGAAGGCAGUUUUCUGGAUCAUUACUGACACUGAGGAACGAAAGCAUGGGUAGCGGAGAGGAUUAGAUACCCUCGUAGUCCAUGCCGUAAACGAUGUGUGUUAGACGUUGGAAAUUUAUUUUCAGUGUCGCAGGGAAACCGAUAAACACACCGCCUGGGGAGUACGACCGCAAGGUUAAAACUCAAAUGAAUUAACGGGGACCCGCACAAGUAGUGGAGCAUGUGGUUUAAUUCGAAGAUACGCGCAGAACCUUACCAACACUUGACAUGUUCGUCGCGACUCUAAGAGAUUAGAGUUUUCGGUUCGGCCGGACGAAACACAGGUGCUGCAUGGCUGUCGUCAGCUCGUGUCGUGAGAUGUUGGGUUAAGUCCCGCAACGAGCGCAACCCUCACUUUUAGUUGCCAUCAUUAAGUUGGGCACUCUGAAAGAACUGCCAGUGAUAAGCUGGAGGAAGGUGGGGAUGACGUCAAGUCCUCAUGGCCCUUACGUGUUGGGCUACACACGUGCUACAAUGGCAUCUACAACAGGAAGCAAAACGGCAACGUUAAGCAAAUCCCGAAAAGAUGCCUCAGUUCGGAUUGCACUCUGCAACUCGAGUGCAUGAAGCUGGAAUUACUAGUAAUCGUGGAUCAGCGUGCCACGGUGAAUGCGUUCCCGGGUCUUGUACACACCGCCCGUCACACCAUGGGAGUUGGUUCUACCUUAAGGCAAGGUUUUAAACCCUUGACCACGGUAUAGUCAGCGACUGGGGUGAAGUCGUAACAAGGUAACC
rnacentral:rRNA from 1 species